GAUGAAGAACGUAGCGAAAUGCGAUAAGUAAUGCGAAUUGCAGAAUUCAGUGAAUCAUCGAAUCUUUGAACGCACAUUGCGCCCGCUAGUAUUCUGGCGGGCAUGCCUGUCUGAGCGUCAUUUCAACCCUCACGCUCGGCUUCGUGUCGGGGGUGGUGUUGGGGAUCGGCCUCCCGGUUACGGGCGGCCGGCCCCGAAAUAGAGUGGCGACCACGCCGUAGCCUCCUCUGCGUAGUAGUGAAAGCCUCGCAGGCGGAGAGCGGUGCGGCCUGCCGUAAAACCCCCAACUCUUCUAAGGUUGACCUCAGAUCAGGUAGGAAUACCCGCUGAACUUAAGCAUAUCAAUAAGCGGAGGA
rnacentral:misc_RNA from 1 species